GACUGGUCUGAAGGCAGUGAGUCAACUCAACUGAUUGUUCACAGUCAGUUACGCAUCCAACUCCUUAUUCUACUCUUCCCCCCUUCUCACUACUGCAUUUGACAUUU
ensembl:Y_RNA Y_RNA Y RNA